UAGGAAUUUUGCGCAAUGGACGAAAGUCUGACGCAGCAACUCCGCGUGAGUGAUGAAGGCCUUCGGGUUGUAAAGCUCUUUUAGUCGGGACGAAGAAAAUGACGGUACCGACAGAAACAGCACCGGCUAACCCUGUGCCAGCAGCCGCGGUAAUACAGGGGGUGCAAGCGUUAUUCGGAAUUAUUGGGCGUAAAGAGCGUGUAGGCGGCUUAGUAAGUCUGGUGUGAAAUCCCUGGGCUCAAUCCAGGAAGUGCAUUGGAUACUACUAAGCUAGAGUAUAGGAGAGGAUGGCGGAAUUCCUGGUGUAGAGGUGAAAUUCGUAGAUAUCAGGAGGAACAACAGAGGCGAAGGCGGCCACCUGGACUAUUACUGACGCUAAGGCGCGAAAGCGUGGGGAGCAAAC
rnacentral:rRNA from 1 species